AGCGCUCAUUGCUUGAAACAAGGAAACCGAAAUGUCAGGGGUUCGAGCCCCCUAUGAGGAGAACCGAAAUGUCAGGGGUUCGAGCCCCCUAUGAGGAG